rnacentral:lncRNA from 1 species
UUUUAUUAUUAUGAAGAGGUUUUAGUAUGAAUCAAGGUGUGAGCCCAGGUUUAAGAGAAUAAACAGUGUGUACCUGACAGAUGAAACUCAUAACACUUUUAUGACACCAGUCAUAGCACCUUUGAGUGUUUCAAUAUCAUUCAUAACAACCUUCAUAACGCAUUUAUUCAACAUCAUUCAUAAGGUAUCCUCCUCCAGUAAAGUGUUACGUGUCACCUAUUUAGGGUAGUUUGUAGACACGUGUAUCUUAGAACAGCAUUAAAUGAUGAAUGAUUGACUCUACUUUAAGUUUCCAAACUUUUUAUAUACUGUAUCACUUGUUUAUAUAUGAGCAGUCUAAGAUGUCCCAGUAGUGUUUUUAUGUUCCUCUCCUGUUGAGAGGAACUGAAGUCUUGUUCUUUGGGCAGAAUUAAGAGCUGUUGUAUCAGAUUAUAGGGUGUCAGGUGGUUGUGGUUUGUCAUGUCAGAGCGCUUCCUGAUCAGGUUUUGCAACAUCUCCUGGCAAUGUCUCUCUGCCCCUUGUGUUUUCUCUCAUUUCAUGACAUGUCUGUGGUGGAGGAUUCGUCUAAGGUUAGCUAAACCAUACACAGAUAUCUGUGAAGUUAUGGGAGGGUAACCCAGAUGGUCACUUUUAGUAUGCUCAUACUAAAAUACCUCUGUGCAUGAAUCCUUACGAAGAAACAGGGAAACAUUUUAAGGACAUUUCCCAGCCCAACAUUGACAUAAGAUGUUUGUCAUGUGGAAUUUUUGUUAAGGAUGGGGUUAUCCGUGCCAAAGAUGACAACUGGCAAGACCCCAUUCUGUCCUUAGGCCAAUCUGGACUUAGUUUAUUGUUGGGGUAGAUUUACAGCUAACCAAGAAUCACUUUUAUAGCUCAUAUCUUGAUGAUCUUGGGCUCCCAAGUGGCGCAGCGGUCUAACGCACUGCAUCUCAGAUCUUGAGGUGUCACUCCAGGAUGUCUCACAACCAGCCGUGAUUGGGAGUCCCAUAGGGCGCGCACAAUUGGCCCAGCGUCGUCCGGGUUUUGGCCAUCAUUGUAAAUAAGAAUUUGUUCUUAACUGACUUGCCUAGUUAAAUAAAAAAAAUGAUGCCCAGUACGCUUUCUUUUUCCAGUAACAGGUACCAGACAGUAGUUAACAGUAACAGGUACCAGACAGUAGUUAACAGUAGCAGGUACCAGACAGUAGCUAACAGUAACAGGUACCAGACAGUAGCUAACGGUAACAGGUACCAGACAGUAGCAGGUACCAGACAGUAGCUAACGGUAACAGGUACCAGACAGUACCAGACAGUAGCAGGUACCAGACAGUAGCUUACAGUAACAGGUACCAGACAGUAGCUAACAAGUCUAAAAAGAAAAAGCUAAAAAGAUGUAUACAUUUACAUACAUGGUUCUAAUAAAACCAUGGAAAAACCAUAACAGGCCAUAAAUAAACUAGAAAACAAUGUUUGAGUCCGGAGAGAUAAGCAGCUUUCACAAAAUCCUGAUGAAAAAGCAGUGAUAGAGAGAUGGUAAAAAAAAAACAGCUCGAUUAUGAAGGGGAACAUGCUGCCCUACAUUAAUGGCUCACCAGGCCAAAGGCUGCCAUGGCAGAGGGUGGAAAUUAUCUAAGGGCAGUUUUUGUAUUUCACCCGCUAAUGUCAAGAUUGGGGAGAGUGCACUGAUCCUCGAUCUGUGUCUUGGUAACGGAGUAACAUUGGUGGGGAUGCCAUCAGGGUCGUAUUUAUUAGGGCCCACUGUAGCGAAACAUUUUGCAACGGAAAACGAAAAUGAGCAUGUGUUAUUGGACUAGUUUAGGUAGUCAUUCCUCUUUUCUGUCCCUCUUCUUCACUUGGUGCCUAAAGAAUAAUAUCCUUUAAGGACAAAGAGGGGCUCAGUUCAGUAUACUCCAGACAGAGUGGCAGACUGCAGUCACAACACUGGCAAACUGUCAACUCAGGCACUGACUAGCCCCACUUCUACCCCAACUCAUUACAUGCACUAGCCCGACACGUGCAUCUUGCCGUCUCUUCAGCUCCACUACACUGCUGCUAGCAGUGGAGGCUGCUGAGGGGAGAAUGGCUCAUAAUAAUGGACGGAAUUGAGCAAAUUGAAUGGCAUCAAACACCUGGAAACUGUGUGUUUGAUACAAUUUCACUGAUUCCGCUCCAGUCAUUACCACAAAGCUAUUCUCCCCAAUUACGAUGCCAUCAACGUGCUGUGGAUGCUAGAGAGUGACCAGAUGGGGUGAGGGUGCAUAUUUGUGAAAAUAAAAAGGUCCUAUAAAACAUUUAUAGAAUAAACUCCUUUUGAGUGGUAUUCAUUUUGCAAGCCUUUUCACUGUCCCAGUAGCUAUUAGUUAACUUCAUCCAUUUGUUUUAGCCAGGUUACAAUUUUGAAAUAACAAAAACUCAGGACUAGAAUCAACGAUCACAGAUACAGAUGACUAGCAAUACAACAAAUCAUUUAGUAGGGAAAGGGACAGGCCAACCCACUCAGGCACCACAAAGCAUUUGCAGAAAACACACACCCUUUCCUCCAUCCCAUCUUUUGAGGUGGUGUAUAUGGUGCUUACACACAUUGGUGCCAAAGAGGCUGGGCUAACAGAGGAAGACCGAUACUUCAUGAGCUAGACAGGCCCAUUUGACAUAUUUAUCAUUUAGCAGACGUGCUUAACCAGAGUGACUUACAAUUAGAGCCGGCCUAGAGACACCCUUGUGGAUUAUUCAGUGUUGGCAGUACAAACCAAAUUCCCCCAAAACUCUCUCCAUACUUCUCAUUCAAACUCCACUGCUCUGUUUGGGCAGAGUCUUUCACACAACUACAACAGUGAACAAACUUUUGACGUUGCAUACACAAAAUCUAUACCAUUCACACACAUGUCAAUGUC